UACGAAGGGGGCUAGCGUUGCUCGGAAUCACUGGGCGUAAAGGGUGCGUAGGCGGGUCUUUUAAGUCAGGGGUGAAAUCCUGGAGCUCAACUCCAGAACUGCCUUUGAUACUGAAGAUCUUGAGUUCGGGAGAGGUGAGUGGAACUGCGAGUGUAGAGGUGAAAUUCGUAGAUAUUAGGAGGAACACCAGAAGCGAAAGCGGUUAUCUGGCUGGCAACUGACGCUGUUGCACGAAAGCGUGGGGAGCAAACAGG
rnacentral:rRNA from 1 species